GAUGAACGCUGGCGGCGUGCCUAAUACAUGCAAGUCGAGCGAACAGACGAGGAGCUUGCUCCUUUGACGUUAGCGGCGGACGGGUGAGUAACACGUGGGUAACCUACCUAUAAGACUGGGAUAACUUCGGGAAACCGGAGCUAAUACCGGAUAAUAUUUCGAACCGCAUGGUUCGAUAGUGAAAGAUGGCUUUGCUAUCACUUAUAGAUGGACCUGCGCCGUAUUAGCUAGUUGGUAAGGUAACGGCUUACCAAGGCAACGAUACGUAGCCGACCUGAGAGGGUGAUCGGCCACACUGGAACUGAGACACGGUCCAGACUCCUACGGGAGGCAGCAGUAGGGAAUCUGCCGCAAUGGGCGAAAGCCUGACGGAGCAACGCCGCGUGAGUGAUGAAGGUCUUCGGAUCGUAAAACUCUGUUAUUAGGGAAGAACAAACGUGUAAGUAACUGUGCACGUCUUGACGGUACCUAAUCAGAAAGCCACGGCUAACUACGUG
rnacentral:rRNA from 1 species